CAGGUCAUAUCGAUCAGUACACAGAAAAAGAAUAGCCUGAACUUUUAAAAACACGUGCUUCUGUACUUCGGACUUGCCUGUUAAAAAGACUAAUCUGAACUUGUACAUGUGGAUAAAAGGACAUGGCGGAUGAGAUGAAUGUAAACCCAGUCUCACGAACCACCGUCUACAAAUUGAUCCGCAAACUCACCAUAAACUUUGCCCCAGAGAACAGCCAAGCCACCUUGAAAAGGUUGAGACCGGAUUCAGAACACAAACAAUAACAACGACCACAACACAGUAGACACCACACAUCCCUCCAGAGCAGCCGUGGAUGGCCGUGAAAUAAGGCAAGUUACAAUUCCAAGGCUUCAUGAAGCGAAAGCUGCUCGAGCACUCACGUUAUUUGACUGCUAUGAUGACUCUGACAUACAAAAACAUACAAGAAGUUGGACUUCGAGACACUAAUCACAGAUGAUGGAACUUGUACUAGGGAAAAGUUCCCAGGACUCAAAGUUUAUUUAAUAUUUGCAAAACUGAUUCUAAAAUUCAACAAACCUAACUUGAUUAAUCUAUUAGGCUAAUGCUAAUAACCCGUUAAUGUUAAUCCAUGUUAAUACACUAAAUGGUCAUUGACCUUUUAUGACUGACCUUUUGUAUCAUCUAAGCAAAGAGUAUUGUGUGUGAAGAGUUUUAAAAUGCAAGAUAAAAAGGGGAUUCACUUUUUUGACUGUCCCAACACCAUAACUAUGUUUUAAGUUAAGAUAUAAAAUUUUAUAUGUAGGUUAUGUAAAUUUGAAUAGACAUUUUGUGUAAGAUUUAGUAAUUUAGAACACUGGGAGCAAAAUACAAGUAGUUACUCAUUUAUUCCUGAUAUGAUGAAUUAAAAAAAAUCAUAAAAAACUAAAAGCAGCUUUACUGAAAAUAGAACAAAUAAAGUGUUCUGGCACAUACUGUAGGAACAGUAACACUCCUCUGGGACAUGUUUGGGAUUAGAUGUCAUGACUUUGUUUGGACAUUCUCUGCCAGAACGGUCCGGUCGUUGUCACAUGUCUCAUCUCUACUCACCUGCCCCUAACUGAUUUAUCAUCAUGUCUAUUUAUUUCCCCCACAUUGCGUUUAACUUAGUAGAGUCCUCGCCCUUUUUUGUGUGUAUUUUACUGGUUCUUGGUUCCAGUGCUCGUGAUUUUAUCAUCUCUGUUUAUUUUUGUGGUUAAUAAAUCGUGUUUUUAGUUA